UCCUCUGUGUCCUCGGUGGCUCAGACGGAUUUGGCUGAGAUCAAAGUGUAGUAUAUGUUCUUAUCAGCUUAAUAUUGAUACCUCCUGCAUCACAGGACCAGAAUAUUAAACUCAUUUUUGGCUCAUGACGGACUGCUAGGGGCUUGCUCCACCUCUGUUGCGGGAAGUAGGUUACAGUACGCUUGUUCACCCACUGCUU